AUCCAGCUGAUGAGCCCCAGAUAAAACGAAACGCGCGUCCUGGAU
rnacentral:hammerhead_ribozyme from 1 species